rnacentral:rRNA from 1 species
UACGGGGGGGGGCAAGCGUUGUUCGGAAUUACUGGGCGUAAAGGGCUCGUAGGCGGCCAACUAAGUCGGAUGUGAAAUCCCCAGGCUUAACCUGGGAAUUGCAUCCGAUACUGGAUGGCUUGAAUCCGGGAGAGGGAUGCGGAAUUCCAGGUGUAGCGGUGAAAUGCGUAGAUAUCUGGAGGAACACCGGUGGCGAAGGCGGCAUCCUGGACCGGCAUUG